CAAUAGCGUAUAUUAAAGUUGUUGCAGUUAAAAAGCUCGUAGUUGGAUUCCUGGUUGAAGCGACCGGUCGGGCGUUGAUUCGUCUGCACUGGAGUCGGUUUUGGCCAUCCUCUAGGAAAGUGCGUCUGGUAUUAAGUUAUCGGGCGUAUGAUCCUGGUCUUUUACUGUGAAAAAAUUAGAGUGUUUAAAGCAGGCCUUCGCCUUGAAUACAUUAGCAUGGAAUAAUAAGAUAGGACUUUGGUCUAUUUUGUUGGUUUGCAGACCGAAGUAAUGAUUAAUAGGGAUAGUUGGGGGUAUUUAUAUUCCGAUGUCAGAGGUGAAAUUCUUAGAUUUUCGGAAGAUAAACUUAUGCGAAAGCAUUUACCAAGGAUGUUUUCAUUAA
rnacentral:rRNA from 1 species